AAGUCGUAACAAGGUUUCCGUAGGUGAACCUGCGGAAGGAUCAUUAACACGUGAUUAACUCACGUAUUAAAACUAACCGUGAAUUGUUGUAUCCCCUGGUGUAGAACAUAGGUGACAAGUUCUGAAAUAUGGUGCGAGAUUGUAACAGAUCUCUUCUUUACUUGUCUGUUGAGUGAUCGAGCUCAUGCCCAUGCCUACAUUCAGAAGACUAAUUGCCAAUGCUUAUUAAGCCUGCGCCAAUGGCUUGCAUUCGGUGGUGCUAUUUUAACCCCUUUUACUAUUUAUUUCUGAUGUGUAUGCUUUUAUGAAUUCCCUUUAACUAGGUCGAGUUCGUUUAAGUGUCGUAUAUAUUUAAUACGAAACAACUCUUAGCAACGGAUAUCUUGGUUCUC
rnacentral:misc_RNA from 1 species